UACGGGGGGAGCAAGCGUUGUUCGGAUUUACUGGGCGUAAAGGGCGCGUAGGCGGCCAGCACAAGUCAGUUGUGAAAUCUCCGGGCUUAACUCGGAAAGGUCAACUGAUACUGUGCGGCUAGAGUGCAGAAGGGGCAACUGGAAUUCUCGGUGUAGCGGUGAAAUGCGUAGAUAUCGAGAGGAACACCUGCGGCGAAGGCGGGUGCUGGGCUGACACUGACGCUGAUGCGCGAAAGCCAGGGGAGCGAACGGG
rnacentral:rRNA from 1 species